ACAUGUCCGCAUGAUUAAAGGUAUUUUCCGGUAGACGAUGGGGAUGCGUUCCAUUAGAUAGUAGGCGGGGUAACGGCCCACCUAGUCAACGAUGGAUAGGGGUUCUGAGAGGAAGGUCCCCCACAUUGGAACUGAGACACGGUCCAAACUCCUACGGGAGGCAGCAGUGAGGAAUAUUGGUCAAUGGGCGAUGGCCUGAACCAGCCAAGUAGCGUGAAGGAUGACUGCCCUAUGGGUUGUAAACUUCUUUUAUAAAGGAAUAAAGUCGGGUAUGCAUACCCGUUUGCAUGUACUUUAUGAAUAAGGAUCGGCUAACUCCGUGCCAGCAGCCGCGGUAAUACGGAGGAUCCGAGCGUUAUCCGGAUUUAUUGGGUUUAAAGGGAGCGUAGAUGGAUGUUUAAGUCAGUUGUGAAAGUUUGCGGCUCAACCGUAAAAUUGCAGUUGAUACUGGAUGUCUUGAGUGCAGUUGAGGCAGGCGGAAUUCGUGGUGUAGCGGUGAAAUGCUUAGAUAUCACGAAGAACUCCGAUUGCGAAGGCAGCCUGCUAAGCUGCGACUGACAUUGAGGCUCGAAAGUGUGGGUAUCAAACAGGAUUAGAUACCCUGGUAGUCCACACGGUAAACGAUGAAUACUCGCUGUUUGCGAUAUACGGCAAGCGGCC
rnacentral:rRNA from 1 species